rnacentral:rRNA from 1 species
UCCGUAGGUGAACCUGCGGAAGGAUCAUUAAUGAAUUUUAGGACUCUCUUUUUAGAGGUCCGACCCUUUCAUUUCCAUACACUGUGCACACACUUCUUUUCACACAUUUUAACACUAUAGUAUAAGAAUGUAACAGUCUCUUUAUUGAGCAUAAAUAAAAAUAAAACUUUCAGCAACGGAUCUCUUGGCUCUCGCAUCGAUGAAGAACGCAGCGAAUUGCGAUAAGUAAUGUGAAUUGCAGAAUUCAGUGAAUCAUCGAAUCUUUGAACGCACCUUGCACUCUUUGGUAUUCCGAAGAGUAUGUCUGUUUGAGUGUCAUGAAACUCUCAACCCCCCUAUUUUGUAAUGAGAUGGGCGUGGGCUUGGAUUAUGACUGCUGUCGGCGUAAUUGCCGGCUCAGUUGAAAUACACGAGCAACCCAUUUGAAAUAAACGGCUUGACUCGGCGUAAUAAUUAUUUCGCUGAGGACGUUUUCUUCAAAAGUUAGAGGUGCUUCUAAUGCGCUAUUACAGCACUUUAAAUUUUAGACCUCAAAUCAGUCAGGACUACCCGCUGAACUUAAGCAUAUCAAUAAGCGGAGGA